rnacentral:lncRNA from 1 species
UUUCAGCACAGCGCUGGCCGCAGUCUGACAGGAAAGGGACGGAGCCAAGAUGGCGGCGGCCGACGGCGACGACUCGCUGUACCCCAUCGCGGUGCUCAUAGACGAACUCCGCAAUGAGGACGUUCAGUGCUGGGAGCUAUUAAUAAUAGGAGAGGCCUCGUGGUGAUGAAGAAAUGAGGGGAGAGUUUCACAGUCUGUCCUGCCAUCAGAGCAGCUGGCUUUGGAUCCCACACUCCCUCGGUGCUUGCUUUGCUUCGCCUCAACAGCAUCAAGAAGCUGUCCACCAUCGCCUUGGCCCUUGGGGUUGAAAGGACCCGAAGUGAGCUUCUGCCUUUCCUUACAGAUACCAUCUAUGAUGAAGAUGAGGUCCUCCUGGCCCUGGCAGAACAGCUGGGAACCUUCACUACCCUGGUGGGAGGCCCAGAGUACGUGCACUGCCUGCUGCCACCGCUGGAGUCGCUGGCCACAGUGGAGGAGACAGUGGUGCGGGACAAGGCAGUGGAGUCCUUACGGGCCAUCUCACACGAGCACUCGCCCUCUGACCUGGAGGCGCACUUUGUGCCGCUAGUGAAGCGGCUGGCGGGCGGCGACUGGUUCACCUCCCGCACCUCGGCCUGCGGCCUCUUCUCCGUCUGCUACCCCCGAGUGUCCAGUGCUGUGAAGGCGGA